rnacentral:rRNA from 1 species
AAGNGAAGACUUGAGAGAGAGUCAGAGUACGUGAAACCGUUCAGGGGUAAACCUGAGAAAUCCAAAAGAUCGAAAUGGGAGAUUCAACCUCAGCGUGUCGGCUCACUUGUUGGGCGCGAUGAUUCGUUGCGUUUCGGCGUAUUGUGUCACGCGUCCUCGAGUUGUGUCCGAUUACGUUGAUUUGCACUUCUCCCCUAGUAGAACGUCGCGACCCGUUGGGUGUCGGCCUACGGUACGGCAGGUAGCCUCUAGCGUCGCGUUCUGCGCGUACACUGUAGACCGCCGUUAUACCUGGCCGGCUGCCCGGCGGUAUAAGUCAUCGAACCGAUUGACAAUGGUAACGGGCCGCACGAUACACGAAUUGUUCACUCAAUCGUGUUUAUAGUGCGUUCAGGCUCGUCGGCAGGUCACCCGUGCACGGAUUUACGAACCUAGUGUCGUAUUCGGAUCGGUUGUGACCGCUAGUCGACGAUGUCCUCGGACGGGCUCUUGCGUCAUACGUUUUUAACGUUUGUCGUUUUACCGGUCGGCGACGCUACUGCUUUGGGUACUUUCAGGACCCGUCUUGAAACACGGACCAAGGAGUCUAACAUGUGCGCGAGUCAUUGGGUUAUUGUUAAAUGUGAAUAAGCCUAAAGGCGCAAUGAAAGUGAAGGUCGGCCUUAGCGUCGAUCGAGGGAGGAUGGCAUGGGUUCGCUCAGGUCCGCACUCCCGGGGCGUCUCACGGUCGUUUCGACCAUAGGCGCACCCAGAGCGUACACGUUGGGACCCGAAAGAUGGUGAACUAUGCCUGGUCAGGACGAAGUCAGGGGAAACCCUGAUGGAGGUCCGUAGCGAUUCUGACGUGCAAAUCGAUCGUCGGAACUGGGUAUAGGGGCGAAAGACUAAUCGAACCAUCUAGUAGCUGGUUCCCUCCGAAG